GUUUCAUCUUCCGUUGCCUCUCUCUCUCACAGCUUUCAUCUUGUUGUUUGAUUUAUGUUUGUAUUUUGUUCUUCUUUUAAUGUUUUACAGUUUUGUAUUCCGUUCAUUUCAGUUGUUUUUGUUUUUUUUUUUUCUAUGUUUUUUUCCUCUUAGAUCUGAACAGAUUUGUUUUUGUUUUAUUUUCUUUCUCAGGGUCGUGACUAUGGCCGCGCGCAGCAGGCCACGACCACCGCAGCGUUGCAAAUGGCUACUGGUGGGAGCGCACGGCCACGCCGGAAGCACACAACAACAAACCAGAAGAUGAAAUUUCAGAAAAUCGAAAUUGUAUAUCAAUCAUUAAAUUUUUUUGUUCGGUGUACUCUCUGUAAAUAAAGAUGUAAAUAUGCAAACACA